rnacentral:rRNA from 1 species
AGUGGCGGACGGGUGAGUAAUGUCUGGGAAACUGCCUGAUGGAGGGGGAUAACUACUGGAAACGGUAGCUAAUACCGCAUAACGUCGCAAGACCAAAGAGGGGGACCUUAGGGCCUCUUGCCAUCGGAUGUGCCCAGAUGGGAUUAGCUAGUAGGUGGGGUAACGGCUCACCAAGCCUUCGAUGGAUAGGGGUUCUGAGAGGAAGGUCCCCCACAUUGGAACUGAGACACGGUCCAA